GUCGUAAUAUCUUUAUUGCAUAUAUUGAUUGUCCACCUUGGAGCAAGAUCUGCAUACUUGUUCGAAGCACCUGAUAUCACUUCAGUUUUUGGUUGGGUACGUGUUGCUUAGUCUUUAGUUUUCAAUGUUGUCUUUUUUGUACCAAAUAUUAUUAUCGGUCUGUUUGUCGUUUUUCUUUUUUAACCAUGGCGUUGUCAGUUUAUUUUCGACCGAUGAGUUUGAAUGUCCAUCUGGUAUAUGUCGCCCCUCUUCUAUUAGCUUCUGACUUGGCACAGGCACAUAGCGAAUGUGGUGGGGUUAUAUGUUAGCUUGCGCUGAUCCUUCUAGUGCGUGACAGUUGGUGUACAGCAAAACAUAGUAUUAAACUAUAAACAUCAGCUGCACUUGUCUGAACUUUAAAGUCGUCUGAUAUGUCGAUUUAUCGAUUUCAUCGCACUAAGAAUGAUGCUUUAAGGUGGUACCUAACACUUAUACUAAAAUUAAUUUGGCUCGUUUAAUUUUCAUAAAAUUUUGUCAAAGUAUUUACUUUGACCCUUUAACAAAAAUACAAAAAUUUCAAAAACUUUGAACCAACCGUUUUGUCAGAAAAAUUACACUGGUUAUAUAGCAGUUUGACAAACACCAAUUUUGAUCAUUGAGAAGCUUAAUAUUCCUUUUACAACAGAACUUAAUUAAAACGUUUAGCUGACUUUAAAGAGUUAUCUCCCUGUAGUGUUAGGUACCACCUUAAUAGAAGGAUAGGCUUACAUUGUCGACGUACCGAAUGUAAGGUUUCGAUAAGGUUUUGCUAAUUGUUUUUUUUUUAAAUUCUAAAUGAUUUCAUCAGUUAUGAACGUCGGUAGACUCCAGCUGCCUGCCAUUUAAAAUAAAUUCUUAAUUCCAAUGAAACAAAAUCUGAAUUUAAUUCAAUUUAUAGGUUGUCCAGUGAAAGUGGUUACACAGCCUUGCCGACGACCUACUGAUGGCAGACAGUUCAUCAUGGGACACUGUAGUGUAUGCCUUAUAUUUGCUGUCUACCAUAGUGAUAACUUUC
rnacentral:lncRNA from 1 species